CAACUUUCAACAACGGAUCUCUUGGCUCUCGCAUCGAUGAAGAACGCAGCGGAAUGCGAUAAGUAAUGUGAAUUGCAGAUUUUCAGUGAAUCAUCGAAUCUUUGAACGCACCUUGCGCUCCUUGGUAUUCCGAGGAGCAUGCCUGUUUGAGUGUCAUUA
rnacentral:rRNA from 1 species